UACGUAGGGUGCAAGCGUUGUCCGGAUUUAUUGGGUUUAAAGGGUGCGUAGGCGGCCUGUUAAGUCAGUGGUGAAAUCCAACAGCUCAACUGUUGAUGUGCCAAUGAUACUGACAGGCUUGAGUACAGACGAGGUAGGCGGAAUUGACAGUGUAGCGGUGAAAUGCAUAGAUAUUGUCAAGAACACCGAUAGCGAAGGCAGCUUGCUAGCCUGUAACUGACGCUGAGGCACGAAAGUGUGGGGAUCAAACAGG
rnacentral:rRNA from 1 species